AAGUCGUAACAAGGUAACCGUAGGUGAACCUGCGGUUGGAUCAUUACUAAAUGAUUACUCUGCCCGGUUGUUGGACUCUUUUGUUCACCUGGGUAGGGUAUAAACCUUUUGUGCACUGUAACUGUAUUUUUCGGUGUGGAGUCUGAACUUGGUCGAAUGCAGUAUGCCUUCCGAGUUCCUAGUCCCACCGUACCCUUAAACCCCUUUAAAUUUGGCUGAGAAGUAAAUUGUUAAUAGCAAACAACUUUUGACAACGGAUCUCUUGGCUCUC
rnacentral:misc_RNA from 1 species